rnacentral:rRNA from 1 species
ACGGAGGUUGCAAGCGUUGUUCGGAAUGACUGGGCGUAAAGGGAGCGCAGGCGGUUUGGUUAGUCUAAAGUGAAAUCCCAGGGCUCAACUCUGGACUGGCUUUGGAUACUGUCAAACUUGAGUACGUGAGAGGAGAUUGGAAUUCCCGGUGUAGCGGUGAAAUGCGUAGAUAUCAGAAGGAACGUCGGCGGCGAAAGCGACUCUCUAGACCGUAACUGACGCUGAGUGUGCGAAAGCUAGGGGAGCAAACGG